rnacentral:rRNA from 1 species
UACGGAAGGCAGCAGUGGGGAAUAUUGGACAAUGGGCGAAAGCCUGAUCCAGCCAUGCCGCAUGAGUGAAGAAGGCCUUCGGGGUUGUAAAGCUCUUUUAGUGAGAAAGAUAAUGACGGUACUCACAGAAGAAGUCCUGGCUAACUCCGUGCCAGCAGCCGCGGUAAUACGGAGAGGGCUAGCGUUAUUCGGAAUUAUUGGGCGUAAAGAGCGCGUAGGCUGAUUAGCAAGUUAAAAGUGAAAUCCCAAAGCUUAACUUUGGAAUUGCUUUUUAAAACUGCUAGUCUAGAGAUUUGAAAGAGGAUAGAGGAAUUCCUAGUGUAGAGGUGAAAUUCGUAAAUAUUAGGAGGAACACCAGUGGCGAAGGCGUCUAUCUGGUUCAAAUCUGACGCUGAGGGCGCGAAGGGCGUGGGGAGCGAAACAGGGAUUAGAUACC